AAUCCAUAGGUUAAUGAGGCGAACCGGGGGAACUGAAACAUCUAAGUACCCCGAGGAAAAGAAAUCAACCGAGAUUCCCCCAGUAGCGGCGAGCGAACGGGGAGGAGCCCAGAGCCUGAAUCAGCAUGUGUGUUAGUGGAAGCGUCUGGAAAGGCGCGCGAUACAGGGUGACAGCCCCGUACACAAAAGCGCAUGUGCUGUGAGCUCGAUGAGUAGGGCGGGACACGUGGUAUCCUGUCUGAAUAUGGGGGGACCAUCCUCCAAGGCUAAAUACUCCUGACUGACCGAUAGUGAACCAGUACCGUGAGGGAAAGGCGAAAAGAACCCCGGCGAGGGGAGUGAAAAAGAACCUGAAACCGUGUACGUACAAGCAGUGGGAGCCCCACCACUAAGCCAGUGGUGAACUCCACAUACGCAUCCUUUGCUGAGGAUGCGGUUAACGGAGCGAAAGCGACGUUCAACCGCAAAAGAAGCAGAGGGGGCUUAGUGGUGGGGUGACUGCGUACCUUUUGUAUAAUGGGUCAGCGACUUAUAUUCUGUAGCAAGGUUAACCGAAUAGGGGAGCCGGAGGGAAACCGAGUCUUAAUUGGGCGUUAAGUUGCAGGGUAUAGACCCGAAACCCGGUGAUCUAGCCAUGGGCAGGUUGAAGGUUGGGUAACACUAACUGGAGGACCGAACCGACUAAUGUUGAAAAAUUAGCGGAUGACCUGUGGCUGGGGGUGAAAGGCCAAUCAAACCGGGAGAUAGCUGGUUCUCCCCGAAAGCUAUUUAGGUAGCGCCUCGUGAA
rnacentral:rRNA from 1 species